UACGGAGGAUGCAAGCGUUAUCCGGAAUGAUUGGGCGUAAAGCGUCCGCAGGUGGCACCUCAAGUCUGCUGUCAAAGACCGGGGCUUAACCCCAGAAAGGCAGUGGAAACUGAAGCGCUAGAGUGCAGUAGGGGUAGAGGGAAUUCCCGGUGUAGCGGUGAAAUGCGUAGAGAUCGGGAAGAACAUCGGUGGCGAAAGCGCUCUGCUGGACUGCAACUGACACUCAGGGACGAAAGCUAGGGGAGCGAAUGGG
rnacentral:rRNA from 1 species